GCCUUUAUAGUGUAGUUGGUUAUCACCGUGGUCUCAUAUUCAUUUAUGAUCUCUGAUUAGAGAGAAAUCCGCUAACCUGAGUUCGAGUCUCAGUAAAGGCA